UAUGAGUUUGUUUUGCAGGAA
rnacentral:piRNA from 1 species